rnacentral:rRNA from 1 species
UACGGAGGGGGCUAGCGUUGUUCGGAAUUACUGGGCGUAAAGCGCGCGUAGGCGGACCUGCAAGUCGGGGGUGAAAGCCCGAGGCUCAACCUCGGAACUGCCUUCGAUACUGCGGGUCUCGAGUCCGGGAGAGGUGAGUGGAAUUCCAGGUGUAGCGGUGAAAUGCGUAGAUAUCAGGAGGAACACCGGUGGCGAAGGCGGGUCUCUGGGCCGAUAUUGACGCUGAGGAGCGAAAGCGUGGGGAGCGAACAGG